UAGCUUAGUUGAUAAAGCACAAGGCUCUUGACCUUGUGGUUGUGGAUCCAAGCCACA
rnacentral:tRNA from 1 species